rnacentral:misc_RNA from 1 species
AUGCGAUAAGUAAUGUGAAUUGCAGAAUUCAGUGAAUCAUCGAAUCUUUGAACGCACCUUGCGCCCGUUGGUAUUCCGACGGGCAUGCCUGUUUGAGUGUCGUGAACAACCUCAACCUUGAUUGGUUUUACCAUCAAGGCUUGGAAUUGGGUGUUGCUGCUGCAAAGUGGCUCGCCUUAAAACUAUUAGCUGGACUUGUCUAUGACUUGGUUCGACUCGAUGUAAUAAGUAUUCAUCGGGGACAGGGUUAAACCUGGCCAAGGCUUGAUGCCGUCUGCUUCUAAUCAUGUUCUCACUAUGAGACGCUACUUUACUGUGUGGCCUCAAAUCAGGUAGGAUUACCCGCUGAACUUAA